rnacentral:rRNA from 1 species
AAGAACUAACAGGAUUCCCCUAGUAACUGCGAGUGAAGCGGGAAAAGCUCAAAUUUAAAAUCUGGCGGUCUUUGGCCGUCCGAGUUGUAAUUUAGAGAAGCGUCUUCCGCGCCGGACCGUGCACAAGUCUCCUGGAAUGGAGCGUCAUAGAGGGUGAGAAUCCCGUCUUUGGCACGGAUGCCCGGUGCUUCUGUGAUGCGCUCUCGAAGAGUCGAGUUGUUUGGGAAUGCAGCUCAAAAUGGGUGGUGAACUCCAUCUAAAGCUAAAUAUUGGCGAGAGACCGAUAGCGAACAAGUACCGUGAGGGAAAGAUGAAAAGCACUUUGGAAAGAGAGUGAAACAGUACGUGAAAUUGUUGAAAGGGAAACGCUUGAAGUCAGUCGCGUCGACCGAGACUCAGCCUUGCCUUGGCUUGGUGUACUUCUCGGCCCGACGGGUCAGCGUCGAUUUCGCUCCUCGGAUAAUGGCAAGGGAAAGGUGGCACCUUUACGGGUGUGUUAUAGUCUCCUGUCGCAUGCGAGGGGUGGGAUCGAGGAACUCAGCGCGCACCUUGGUGUCGGGGCUUCUGCCCACGUCACGCGCUUAGGAUGCUGGCGUAAUGGCUUUAAACGACCCGUCUUGAAACACGGACCAAGGAGUCCAACACGCCCGCGAGUGUUCGGGUGGAAAACCCGUGCGCGUAAUGAAAGUGAAAGUUGGGACCUCUGUCGUGGAGGGCACCGACGCCCGGACCAGACCUUCUGUGACGGAUCUGCGGUAGAGCGUGCGUGUUGGGACCCGAAAGAUGGUGAACUAUGCCUGAAUAGGGUGAAGCCAGAGGAAACUCUGGUGGAGGCUCGUAGCGAUUCUGACGUGCAAAUCGAUCGUCAAAUUUGGGUAUAGGGGCGAAAGACUAAUCGAACCAUCUAGUAGCUGGUUCCUGCCGAAUUUUUCCCUC